GUGCGUAAAUUGUGAAAGUAUUCAGUCUGAAACAGUAACAAUCAAAGUCAUCAACAUGCAACUGAGGAAAUGAAAGGGUUGAGGAAUUUGAACCAGCACUCGAUGAAUACAGUGGUUUGAUGACCCAGUUACCACUAUUGUGACAGUCGUACGUCUGGUUUGGAGCGGUUUGGUAUUUAAACAAAAGGGCACACAAUCCUUACC
rnacentral:lncRNA from 1 species